rnacentral:rRNA from 1 species
UACGUAGGUGGCAAGCGUUGUCCGGAUUUAUUGGGUUUAAAGGGUGCGUAGGCGGCCCUGUAAGUCAGUGCUGAAAUAUCCCGGCUUAACCGGGAGGGUGGCAUUGAUACUGCAGGGCUUGAGUGAAGUCGAGGUAGGCGGAAUUGACGGUGUAGCGGUGAAACGCUUAGAUAUCGUCAAGAACACCGAUAGUGAAGACAGCUUACUAGGCUUAUACUGACGCUGAGGCACGAAAGUGUGGGGAUCAAACAGG